rnacentral:rRNA from 1 species
UACGUAGGGUGCGAGCGUUGUCCGGAAUUCUUGGGCGUCAAGAGCUCGUAGGCGGUGUGUCACGUCGUUCGUGAAAACCUGCAGCUUAACUGUGGGCGUGCGGUCGAUACGGGCAUCACUGGAGUUCGGCAGGGGAGACUGGAAUUCCUGGUGUAGCGGUGAAAUGCGCAGAUAUCUGGAGGAACACCGGUGGCGAAGGCGGCAUCCUGGACCAACACUGACGCUGAGGAGCGAAAGCCAGGGGAGCAAACGGG